GCCUUUUCAUUCUCUUGGGGUUUAUUGUGUUCUGCCAGCUGCUGGGGUUGCUUUCCUGCCCACAGCCUGGGUUUGCCCAGUGUUGGCCCUUGGUCCGGCUGGAAGUCCCAGGGGCAUCCCAUGAGACAGGAAGUUGUGAUAUGAAACCUCAGAUUCUUUGCAGACACCUUGAAGUGCCUGAAAGUGCAGAGUGGCACUUCCUAAAGGACACUAACAGCCAGAUGUGUUACAACACAGCUUGGAGAUAAGAUGGGACACUGUCUUGGAGCUUGAGGUCUGUCUGUCCGAGCCCAGGAAGAUGGAUGGGUUUGCAGUGUUGUUUGAAAGCUGCACCGACCUCAGAGUACUUGGUACCUGUAUGGGAAUUGUUGAGUCACGGCCUGAACCACUGAUUGAGCACCUGAGGAAAGGACUGGGUCAGCCCUGGGAGCACAGGUGAAGACUGCUACUGGGGAAGAAUCUCUUUCUGGAGGUCCCUUCUCUGUGGAAGGAAUCUUUCCUGCAAACCGAGAUUUUUGGAUACAGGUGAGCAUUCCUUCCCUGUUUGUUUCUUUUUCCAUUUUCACCACGAU
rnacentral:lncRNA from 1 species